GAUGAACGCUGGCGGCGUGCCUAAUACAUGCAAGUUGAGCGCUGAAGGUGGGGAUUUGUCUCGACUGUGAGUUCAGCAAAGGUGUGAAUCACGCAUGGAACAUCUCCCUUUGAGCGGGGGACCACUUGUGGACACGAACUAUUAUAGCAUGUCAACACUUUAAACAUGAUAACUAAGUAUAAAAGAUACCAGUUCCUCAACCAAAGGGGAUUCCGCGUUGUAUUAGCUUGUUGGUGAGGUCAAGGCACAACAAGGCGAGGAUACAUAGCCGACCUGAGAGGGUGGUCGGCCACACUGGGACUGAGACACGGCCCAAACUCCUACGGGAGGCAGCAGUAGGGAAUCUUCGGCAAUGGACGGAAGUCUGACCGAGAAACGCCGCGUGAGUGAAGAAGGUUGUCGGAUCGUAAAACUCUGUUGGUAGAGAAGAACGUUGGUGAGAGUGGAAAGCUCAUAAAGUGACGGUAACUACCCAGAAAGGGACGGCUAACUACGUG
rnacentral:rRNA from 1 species